rnacentral:rRNA from 1 species
UACGUAGGGGGCAAGCGUUGUCCGGAAUCAUUGGGCGUAAAGCGCGUGUAGGCGGUCCGGUAAGUCGGCUGUGAAAGUCCAGGGCUCAACCCUGGGAUGCCGGUCGAUACUGCCGGACUAGAGUUCGGAAGAGGCGAGUGGAAUUCCCGGUGUAGCGGUGAAAUGCGCAGAUAUCGGGAGGAACACCAAUGGCGAAGGCAGCUCGCUGGGACGUUACUGACGUUGAGACGCGAAAGCGUGGGGAGCAAACAGG